rnacentral:rRNA from 1 species
CAGUAGCCGCGGUAAUACGUAGGGUGCGAGCGUUAAUCGGAAUUACUGGGCGUAAAGCGUGCGCAGGCGGUUCGUUAAGACAGAUGUGAAAUCCCCGGGCUUAACCUGGGAACUGCAUUUGUGACUGGCGAGCUAGAGUAUGGCAGAGGGGGGUAGAAUCCCACGUGUAGCAGUGAAAUGCGUAGAGAUGCGGAGGAAUACCGAUGGCGAAGGCAGCCCCCUGGGCCAAUACUGACGCUCAUGCACGAAAGCGUGGGGAGCAAACAGGAUUAGAUACCCCCGUAGUCCCUGUCUCUUAUAC